rnacentral:rRNA from 1 species
GGGGAACCAGGACUUUUACCUUGAAAAAAUUAGAUCGCUUAAAGAGGGCCUAUGCUCGAAUACAUUAGCAUGGAAUAAUAGAAUAGGACGUGUGGUUCUAUUUUGUUGGUUUCUAGGACCGCCGUAAUGAUUAAUAGGGACAGUCGGGGGCAUCAGUAUUCAAUUGUCAGAGGUGAAAUUCUUGGAUUUAUUGAAGACUAACUACUGCGAAAGCAUUUGCCAAGGAUGUUUUCAUUAAUCAGGAACGAAAGUUAGGGGAUCGAAGACGAUCAGAUACCGUCGUAGUCUUAACCAUAAACUAUGCCGACUAGGGAUCGGACGAGCUCAAAUUUGACUCGUUCGGCACCUUACACGAAAGUAAAGUUUCUGGGUUCUGGGGGGAGUAUGGUCGCAAGGCUGAAACUUAAAGAAAUUGACGGAAGGGCACCACCAGGGGUGGAGCCUGCGGCUUAAUUUGACUCAACACGGGGAAACUCACCAGGUCCAGACACAAGUAGGAUUGACAGAUUGAGAGCUCUUUCUUGAUUUUGUGGGUGGUGGUGCAUGGCCGUUCUUAGUUGGUGGAGUGAUUUGUCUGCUUAAUUGCGAUAACGAACGAGACCU